rnacentral:lncRNA from 1 species
CACCUCCCGGCGGCUGCGCGCAGCCAGCGCCGAGACAGCACCCGGCCUCUGAUUGGUGCAGUGAGUGAGUCUCGGGCUUUAUUUAUACAACCUUUUCUGCACGACUCGACUUCCUCGGAGUUGAGGGCUGGAGCCGGAGGCAGCCUUCCUCCCCGGCUGGGAAGGAUGACAAGCCGGGGUCUGGUACCAGCGACUGUCUUCGUGAAUCCUUGGAUGGAUCAUUUUCACCUGCUUCUGUACGGAGCAGCCACCAAGUGUGGGGCGCGAUUUGCGGAAACCUCCAUAGAAGAACAAGACUGUGUGGCACCUCGGUAGGGCUGGGAGGGUGAAGGCUUUCAGACGAGCCCAGGGAUGCUGUGUUUGGGCCCUGGCUUUGGACCUCCUGCUCUGAAUCGUGGACACCGGUCUGGAAAGUGAGGCUGCCUUUCCAGCUGGGGGGUAAGAAGGGAUUCUCAACUCCGGCAUCCUCUUGGGUGAUGGCAGAGGAACCUUCUCGGACCAUAUCCUUGAAUGCUCCACUCAGGAUGUCUGGGAAAGCCCAUGGAGACGGACUGAGGCACAAAGAGUCAGCGGUUUCUCUGCUGUGCCCAUUCUCAGCAGAUCUGGUUAAGGAUCAGAAGCUACCUGUCCUCUUAUGCAUACGAACUUUAGCCCCACACAUGAAAGAUACUUUGAAGUCAUCUGAUGGCAGCCCAAGCUCAGAGACAAGGAUCGUGAAGCCGAGAGGUUAACUGACUUGCCCAAAGGAGACAGGAAGCACAAGGGCACGUCUGUGAGUCCCUGGGAUGUGUUUCAACCAGCACGUCAAACAAGGACAAAGUCAUCAGCGCUGGACCCAUCGAGUACCCUGACUCCAGUGAAACAGGACAAGGUAAGUAAAUUGGGGACCUGGAGGUGACACUGAUCUCAGGUUCUAAAGACCAUGAGCAAAACUUACUGGACAUCAGGCAGUGUUGUUCUGGGAACUGAAUGUUGCUUUUGAGCAGGUUUGCAGCACCUCUGGUUUACAGCUCUCACUGGGCAAAGUGUCCAGGGGAGAAAAUGUAGGACUUCUUUUCUAGUUGUUUCUCUUUGGAGUUCUGGGAAUUUGGGGCCACUGAAGCCUGGUGGCUACCAGUUCAGUUAUUAAUUCUGUAGCUCAGACUUCCUCCAGCAGAGGGCAGCCCAGGACUCAGGAAGAAAACCCAGCCUCUCACUGCGGUCCUGGCGGUUUGGGGAAAUGGGGAUAUGAGUUUUUAUUUGGUCCCAUGCAUUCAGGCCAGAGAAGGAAAUGGCAACCCACUCCAGUAUUCCUGCCUGGAGAAUCCCAGGGACAGAGGAGCCUGGUGGGCUGCCAUCUAUGGGGUCGCACAGAGUCAGACACGACUGAAGCAACUUAGCAGCAGCAUGCAUUCAGGCAGAAGUUUUUCAGGAUUAUGUUUUGACCAAUAAAACAGAAAGUUUACCUAG